UACGUAGGGUGCGAGCGUUAAUCGGAAUUACUGGGCGUAAAGCGUGCGCAGGCGGUUUUGUAAGCCAGAUGUGAAAUCCCCGGGCUUAACCUGGGAAUGGCAUUUGGGACUGCAAGGCUCGAGUGCGGCAGAGGAGACUGGAAUUCCUGGUGUAGCAGUGAAAUGCGUAGAGAUCUGGAGGAACACCGAUGGCGAAGGCAGCCUUCUGGGCCAACACUGACGCUCAUGCACGAAAGCGUGGGGAGCAAACAGG
rnacentral:rRNA from 1 species